rnacentral:rRNA from 1 species
AUUGAACGCUGGCGGCAGGCCUAACACAUGCAAGUCGAACGGUAACAGGAAGAAGCUUGCUUCUUUGCUGACGAGUGGCGGACGGGUGAGUAAUGUCUGGGAAACUGCCUGAUGGAGGGGGAUAACUACUGGAAACGGUAGCUAAUACCGCAUAACGUCGCAAGACCAAAGAGGGGGACCUUCGGGCCUCUUGCCAUCGGAUGUGCCCAGAUGGGAUUAGCUAGUAGGUGGGGUAACGGCUCACCUAGGCGACGAUCCCUAGCUGGUCUGAGAGGAUGACCAGCCACACUGGAACUGAGACACGGUCCAGACUCCUACGGGAGGCAGCAGUGGGGAAUAUUGCACAAUGGGCGCAAGCCUGAUGCAGCCAUGCCGCGUGUAUGAAGAAGGCCUUCGGGUUGUAAAGUACUUUCAGCGGGGAGGAAGGGAGUAAAGUUAAUACCUUUGCUCAUUGACGUUACCCGCAGAUGAAGCACCGGCUAACUCCGUG